rnacentral:lncRNA from 1 species
AUUUCUUAAUAUUUUUCUGUUAUAGUAAAUUUCCUAAUAGAGUAGUUACAUUCAAACAACAGUAUGAGUUAAUCUUUUCAGAGCUGUCAGGUUAAGGGUGACAACUGCAGAAUGUCAAAUGAAACUAACAUCUUGGUAUUACACAAAACUUUUUACUGACAUACGUUGUUUAGGUGUAUGUUUUUUCAUCAUUUUUGAACACUUCAUUUAAAAAUAUUAAAGCUAUCACAGACUAAAUAGUUGAAUAAUUUGUAGGUUACUCUGAAAGUAAUACCUCCUAUUUAUUUCCAUGGAAAUGACAUCAGAUACAAAAAGCACGAUAACACUAUUUGAUAGAGCAAAUUCUCUGCUACAAAACAGUAUUUUUCAACAUAAUCAUCACCACUAGUCAAUUUGUGCAGAUAAGCUCAUCAAGAUGCUCUUUAUUUCAAGGUUUGACUGCUGUAUGUGACUGUCUGGAACCUGGCUUGUCUUUUAUGUCACUGUCAGUACUGCUGAAAUGCACUACCCACUGCCUCACUGUUCUCAUAUCCAUUGUUUGGUCUCCAUAAAUGUUAAGCAAAUGUUGAUGAAUGUCAAUGAGUGCCAUUUUUUUUUCUGUGUAGAGGAAUUCAGUGAUACAUCUUUGCUUUAUUUCACUUCCAUUCUGUCAGAGUGCCCCUCUGCUUCCAUGUGUUGCACGGCAACAAAAUGUAAUGGAGUAUUUCUGGGAAGGUUCAAGCUCUACUGCUGUUCCACCAAUAACCACCUCUGAUAUCAUGGGCAAACAUAAUAAAAUAGGAGGCAUUACUUUUGGAUCAGCCCUCAUAGUUAAUUACUUUUGUAAUAACUUUGUUUUCUGUAUAAACCCCAUAUUCUUUUUGUGAAGUGAGUAGGAUAUCUGGUGACAGUGGUCCUGAGAUUCUAGCAUAAUUCUACUAAAAAAUCAUUCCCCUGAAGGUGUAUAAAUCACCUGAAUGAAACUUGAUGUGCUUAUUACAGGCAGAAUCUUAUGUGGUGAUGUUCUUAGUAAGCUGUAAUGGGUCACUGACUACAUGCGGAGAUUCUAUUGAAUUCAACUUCCAGAAUUGAUAUUGUGCUUUCGUAUUGCUGGAUAUGUGAGUAGUCUGAAUUCCGUCUUGGGAGAAAAAUAAUUAAAUUUAUUUUCCUAAUUAAGAUCAGAUUACAGGGUAGCAAUUGCCUGUGGAAAAUAGCCUACUGUUAUUCAACCUAGAAAUUACUCUCAGAGGUCAGGUCUUGGCAGGUAGUUGGACAUUAGUAUUUUUAGAGGACAUUGUUGCCCCAGCCUAUGGAAAGUUUCAUACCUAAUUUAACAAACUUGUAGUUAGCUUGUUGGGAUUUCGCUUAUGUCCCUGGUUUGAAAUCUUUAAAUUUGACAAUAAGAAACAAUUUUGAGCAGGGAAACCUUUUUUUUUUUUUUCCCCUUGAACCUCUGCCCAAGACAUUACUGAGAAAUAAAUACAAGAGACUUAAUGAUUUAUUUGAACAGAGACAACUGCAUAGAAAACUCGUGUGAUUUUAGGAUUGCUGGAAGAAUUAAUUGUUAUAAACCACAAAAGCAUGCACAUAUGGCAGAAAAAAGUAGCUCAAAAAUAAUGUAAAAUCUGACAAAGAAUAUGUGCAAAGACAGAUACCUAAUAAUUAAAAAUAUAAACUAAGGAAUAUAAUUAAAAUAUGCUUGUAUUGAGAGGAAAACCAAUAUCAUUAUACUGUUUCUCAAAGUUUGUAGGCAAGUACAAAUUAAAAUAUAAUUUUUGGAAGUAUACAGAAUUUUGAUGUCUUUUUUAAUCAGAAGAUUUGUAUGAGCUUCCACUUCAUCACAAUAAAAAAACCAAAUCAUUCCAUAAGUAAAAAAAAAAUCACUGCAUACCAGACUUUCAUCAGCUUAAUAAAAUAGGUAGCUCAUAAUUAAGAACAGAGGAAAAGAAACAUAACAUAAAUUAUAAAUAUACACAUAUAAAAAAGUCAAAUUGUAAGUGCAUCUUUCAUACGACAAAUAGGUCACUAAUACGUAUUUUGCAUCAACUUCAUGCUAAACAAAAUGACAGAAUUAAGAAUUAGAUAAUACCUAUGCACUGAUUGACAUUUUUUUCUCCCUUUUCUCUUGCAAGGAGGGGACAUAAUAUCUGUCUUUGGAUUGCAGUGCAAAGAAAACAGAACUUCAUAAUUUCAUGAAUGAAUCCUAGUUUCAUGCAUGCUACAGAUAAGGUCAUAACUUCAGAAUGGUUCAACUUCCAUUACUUCAAGUUUUUUAUCUUUUAUCUUAUGUAUCUUUCUGUGCUCUGUCUUCAUAGUGUUCAGAGGGAGCUGAAUUCCAUUCCCAGUUUAGUUUCCUGGUAAAUCAGCUUCCAGUGAAUUAUUUUUGUGGAUAACUCUAUGUGUGCUUUUCAAAUUUUUAUUCAAAGUAGAUUUUACUAAGAAGUGGCAAGGUCAGCAUCUAUUGUACCUAUUAAAUGAACUUUGCUUUAAGCCAUUCAACAAACCUGAAUGCUAUGAAUACUGUUGAAUUUCUACAUUUUUCCAAUAAAUUGUAGUUUUUACUUAAUUUGCUUCUUUGAGCUUUGAUAUGUUCCAGGUUGAAAUGUGGACUACAGUGAAUGUUUCUACCUUGAGAUAGCAGCCACACUUCUGUGACAAAACACAAUAUACUUUUGAGCUUCUUCCUCCCAUUUCAGUGAGUCAGGGUGUUAUGUUAUUGUUGAAAUGCCUACAGUCAUCUUCGGAGAUUCCAAAGUAAGAAGAGCCUGAAACUUUCUCAGGACAUAGUUGACAAGUCCCGUGAUCUAUGAAGUGAGUAGUAUGAGAAAUAAACAAAGUAUAAGAAAAAUUAUCCCUUUUGCACACUUACCUUAUCAGACAUAAUUUUUGCAUGUAGUAAUAAAGUAACUUGUAGUUACUGUAUUAGUUAAAUCUCUGAAGCUUGUUGGAGAUUUAAAACUUUUAAGUAUAGGUAUAUAGUAGAGAGAUAUGUGCUUUGUAAAAUAUUUCUUCUUCUUCUUUUUUUUUUUUUUUUUUAUUAACAUAUGUUAACCCCUGUUCAAAAAAUAACCUCUGGCUGAAAGGGCAAGGCAAGUAUUACUGAAUAUCUGCUUCAAGUGGAAGUCUCAACUUCUGUGGGAAAUCUUUAUUUUUUUCUUUUUGUUUUCUUUUCUUGUACGUUUGGGACUAUGUUACUUCUGGAAAGCUUGAGAGUUUUGAUGUGCAUGCACAGAAUUUAUUUUGUAUUUCUACUUUCAUUCAACUAAUGCAUUAGCAUUAUUUGAAAUGUGCAAUGGUUUCUUAGAAUUUCUACACCUGUGAAUCCGUGACAGGAGACCUGAAAUGUACUUUGCUACUCAGAUCUGGUUUUUAUGUAUAUCAAGAUCUUCAUCUUGAGAAUCAGCUAUCAGUUUGUAAGGUAGAAUCAUGAUACCUCAAGCUACGAUAUCUGCAGCAGUGAAGUUCUUGCUAUGCUUAUACUAUAUUUUUUAUUUGGGCUUAAUUUGGGCUUUGAUUUUAGGCUUUGGCCAUGUAAGUUUAGCCUCUGUGCUGUUCCUUGAAAAUGGUUUCUCUCUGCACCCGUGCCUCCUGUGCUAUGCUUUGUCCUCAGUUAAACUGAUUUAUAGAUCCUGGUAAAGAAGAGCAGAAUCAUCAUUCCAGUGACUAUUUGGGAAGCAGGAACAGCAGCUCUCUUUCGUACCUGACUUCAGAGGCCAAUUGCGUAAGCACAGUGACCUUUCUGCUGGGAAGUACCACAUAUUGUUCUUAAUCCAAAGCUUGUCCCUUCUGGUUUCAUCUAAGCAGCAACAGCUAGAUCUUUCCUAACCUCCAUGGUUAAGUCUCACUACUUGGUAGUAACAACAAAGGCC